rnacentral:rRNA from 1 species
AUACGUAGGGGGCGAGCGUUGCCCGGAAUGAUUGGGCGUAAAGGGCGCGUAGGCGGCCCGGUAAGUCUGGAGUGAAAGUCCUGUUUUUAAGAUGGGAACUGCUUUGGAUACUGUCGGGCUUGAGUGCAGGAGAGGGAAGUGGAAUUCCCAGUGUAGCGGUGAAAUGCGUAGAGAUUGGGAGGAACACCAGUGGCGAAGGCGACUUACUGGACUGUAACUGACGCUGAGGCGCGAAAGUGUGGGGAGCAAACAGGAUUAGAUACCCUGGUAGUCCACACUGUAAACGAUGAAUGCUAGGUGUAGGGGGUAUCGACCCCUUCUGUGCCGCAGUCAACACAAUAAGCAUUCCGCCUGGGGAGUACGGCCGCAAGGUUGAAACUCAAAUGAAUUGACGGGG